rnacentral:rRNA from 1 species
UACGUAGGGGGCGAGCGUUGUCCGGAGUUACUGGGCGUAAAGCGCACGCAGGCGGUCUGCUAAGUUUGGAGUGACAGUUGGUGGCUUAACUGCCAAAGUGCUUCGAAAACUGACAGACUUGAGGGCUUCAGAGGGACACGGAAUUCCGGGUGGAGUGGUGAAAUGCGUAGAUAUCAGGAGGAACACCGAUGGCGAAGGCAGGUCUCUGGGCAUUAACUGACGCUGAGGAGCGAAAGCAUGGGGAGCGAACAGG